GAGGGUGGCAGAGCCCAGCCACCAGGGUCUGCUCCAUGCCUGGUCCCUGGAGAGGCCCUCACCCUCUCUGCUUUCACCCAACCCGACUGACACGGAGUAGGAGGUGGGAAUCAUGCAGGCAGGGAGCUUAGGAAGCCUGGUUCAAGAUUGCUUUGAAUGGCAGGCCCCCUGCUGUGCUCCUGGGGAGAGAGCCUGAAACCUGGAUGCUCGGGAGCCCCUCAGAUCCGUCAUCUGUCCCCGACACCCCUGUGCACACACCUACACUUGAUGGCAGGGAAAUAAUUAUUUCCUGCAGAAUGGGCUGCAAAUGUAACAAACCCCCUGACCUUCAGUCUGAAGAGAGAGAACUAUCAACCACACAGAAGCAAAGAUCCAGAGAAAUACUGAGGGAUGCUACCAGACACUCAACCAGGGCCACUCUCCGAGAUUCCAGCCAGCCACACAGCAAAGAUGCUGGCCGGGGACACUGCCCCAAACCACCAGACAGAACCCCAAAGAAACAGCUCCACACACAGUGGAAGAUACACCAGAGACUGUUAGAAGGACCAUCAGACAAAGCCAAAGAGACAGGUAGAUGAAACCAGAUAACCAGCCAGAGAGGUGGUCAGAGAACAGCGACACAAUCAAAGGACCCACCAGAAACACUGUAAAGGACUCAGCUAGACCCAGGCAGAUACACUGCCGAAGGACGAGCAAGGAGCACAGGCAGUGAAGCCGUCGGCGACAAAGCCAGAGAGCUAAGACACUGUCAGAAACAGUGCCAGAGAAACCGUCUGACACACAAGCAGAGAAAUACCAGAGAAACUGAUAGACGCAAACAGGCGUACACCCAGAAAAACAGCUUGAGAGAAGAGCCAGAGCCACAGCCAGAUGCUCAGUCAGGAAGUAUCCACACCACUCCAAACACUGCCAGAGACACUGUCAGACACACAGUCAGACACACUGCCAGAGACACCGUUAUAAAGACUGCCAGAGAAACAGCCAGACACACAGCCAGAAAAACUGACAGAGACGCAGUGCCAGAUAUACCCCGAGAAAGUGCCAGAGACUCAGCUCCAGACAGUGCAGACAUAGCAUAACAGAGACAAAUGUGGGUAUCAGCCUGAAGCAGCUGCGGAGAGGCUGGAGAGCAAUGAACUUCCUGGGGCUUCCUGUGGGAGAGGGCUCCUGCCUGCCUUUUGCUACCCUUGACCCUCUCCAGGAAAGUCCCCUCCUCUGAGCCUGCUUUUCCUUUCCUCCCUGUCACAGCCACAGGUGCCCUGACUGCCCCUCCCUGGCACAGUAAAUCUCUCUGUGUCCUAA
rnacentral:lncRNA from 1 species